AAUAGAUACCCCGGUAGUCCACGCCGUAAACGAUGAGUGCUAAGUGUUAGAGGGUUUCCGCCCUUUAGUGCUGCAGCUAACGCAUUAAGCACUCCGCCUGGGGAGUACGGUCGCAAGACUGAAACUCAAAGGAAUUGACGGGGGCCCGCACAAGCGGUGGAGCAUGUGGUUUAAUUCGAAGCAACGCGAAGAACCUUACCAGGUCUUGACAUCCUCUGACAACUCUAGAGAUAGAGCGUUCCCCUUCGGGGGACAGAGUGACAGGUGGUGCAUGGUUGUCGUCAGCUCGUGUCGUGAGAUGUUGGGUUAAGUCCCGCAACGAGCGCAACCCUUGAUCUUAGUUGCCAGCAUUUAGUUGGGCACUCUAAGGUGACUGCCGGUGACAAACCGGAGGAAGGUGGGGAUGACAUCAAAUCAUCAUGCCCCUUAUGACCUGGGCUACACACGUGCUACAAUGGAUGGUACAAAGGGCUGCAAGACCGCGAGGUCAAGCCAAUCCCAUAAAACCAUUCUCAGUUCGGAUUGU
rnacentral:rRNA from 1 species